rnacentral:lncRNA from 1 species
UAUUAUUCUAUAUUCUGCGUUUCCAUCCAGAUUCUCGUGUAGACCAUGAGGGUCCGGAUUGGGGGUAUUGUUUAUUUCUGUAUUCUUUAAAUUGUUAUGUCAUUUUUUUCUUCAUUUUAUUCAUCUUACUCAUUAUUCUUUCUUUAUUUUUCAUAUUUUGUCAUCCCAAUAUAUUCUACUUACUGAUGUUUAGUUAUAUUACGACGUUUAUCUCUGAUUUGUAUACUGGUUACCAAUGUAGAUGACAAAUUUGUGUCAUUCAUGACAAUUAAACAGAAUAAACA